GAUCAUGGCUCAGGACGAACGCUGGCGGCGUGCUUAACACAUGCAAGUCGAACGAAGAGCGGUGGAAGCUUGCUUCUAUCAAUCUUAGUGGCGAACGGGUGAGUAACGCGUAAUCAACCUGCCCUUCAGAGGGGGACAACAGUUGGAAACGACUGCUAAUACCGCAUACGAUCCAAUCUCGGCAUCGAGACUGGAUGAAAGGUGGCCUCUAUUUAUAAGCUGUCACUGAAGGAGGGG
rnacentral:rRNA from 1 species